AAACAAGAGAAAGACAGAGCCAAGAUGGCAGCUUAGUAGCAGCGAAAGCCUGAAACCACUCUGAAUAUCCUUCCAAACUGAUCUUUAAAAGGUGCCUCAAAAGGAUAGGAGUCAAAUCAGGAUGAAUGAAGGGGCUCUCACACUGAACACAAUGUGAAAGGUCUUCUGAGAAGUUGAAAGAAAGAUACACCAAGAAAAGCAAGAAAUGUAAAAACCAAAGAAAUCAACAAAGUGGAUAUUAAAAAAUAAAGUAGCUCUAGAGUUAUUGUCUCCUCUAAUGAAGCUUUCUCUGUU